rnacentral:misc_RNA from 1 species
AAGUUCCUCAACCACAUUGAUUUUACUUUUCGGUGUGGCUUGGAUGUGGAUUUGCAGGCCUUUUGGAAAACGGGAGGUCUGCUUCUCUGAAAUGUAUUAGCGGAGUAUCUGAGCAGAAAAGAUACAGGUGUGAUAAUUUAUCUAUGCCUUAGUUAAAAUGCUGCAUGAAACCGGCUUAUAACGGAUGAUGAUGAUUGAUGA